rnacentral:rRNA from 2 species
CUUACCAUGCAGUCGAACGGCAGCACGGGAGCAAUCCUGGUGGCGAGUGGCGAACGGGUGAGUAAUACAUCGGAACGUGUCCUGGAGUGGGGGAUAGCCCGGCGAAAGCCGGAUUAAUACCGCAUACGCUCUGUGGAGGAAAGCGGGGGAUCUUUCGGGACCUCGCGCUCAAGGGGCGGCCGAUGGCAGAUUAGCUAGUUGGUGGGGUAAAGGCCUACCAAGGCGACGAUCUGUAGCUGGUCUGAGAGGACGACCAGCCACACUGGGACUGAGACACGGCCCAGACUCCUACGGGAGGCAGCAGUGGGGAAUUUUGGACAAUGGGCGCAAGCCUGAUCCAGCAAUGCCGCGUGUGUGAAGAAGGCCUUCGGGUUGUAAAGCACUUUUGUCCGGAAAGAAAACCUCUGGGUUAAUACCCCGGGGGGAUGACGGUACCGGAAGAAUAAGCACCGGCUAACUACGUGCCAGCAGCCGCGGUAAUACGUAGGGUGCGAGCGUUAAUCGGAAUUACUGGGCGUAAAGCGUGCGCAGGCGGUUCGUUAAGACAGAUGUGAAAUCCCCGGGCUUAACCUGGGAACUGCAUUUGUGACUGGCGGGCUAGAGUAUGGCAGAGGGGGGUAGAAUUCCACGUGUAGCAGUGAAAUGCGUAGAGAUGUGGAGGAAUACCGAUGGCGAAGGCAGCCCCCUGGGCCAAUACUGACGCUCAUGCACGAAAGCGUGGGGAGCAAACAGGAUUAGAUACCCUGGUAGUCCACGCCCUAAACGAUGUCAACUAGUUGUUGGGGAUUCAUUUCCUUAGUAACGUAGCUAACGCGUGAAGUUGACCGCCUGGAGAGUACGGUCGCAAGAUUAAAACUCAGAGAA